rnacentral:rRNA from 1 species
UGGUGAGUAACGCGUGAGGAACCUGCCUUCCAGAGGGGGACAACAGUUGGAAACGACUGCUAAUACCGCAUGACAUAUCGAAACCGCAUGGUUUUGAUAUCAAAGAUUUAUCGCUGGAAGAUGGCCUCGCGUCUGAUUAGCUAGUAGGCGGGGUAACGGCCCACCUAGGCGACGAUCAGUAGCCGGACUGAGAGGUUGACCGGCCACAUUGGGACUGAGAUACGGCCCAGACUCCUACGGAAGGCAGCAG